UCCGAGUUGACCCCGGCAGUCUCCUAUGAGUCCCCGCCAUAACGCGCUGGCAACAUAGAACGAGGGUUGCGCUCGUUGCGGGACUUAACCCAACAUCUCACGACACGAGCUGACGACAACCAUGCACCACCUGUGUACGGCCCCGAAGGACACCACAUCUCUGGAGCUGUCCUCCGUUGUCUAGCCCAGGUAAGGUUCUUCGCGUUGCGUCGAAUUGAACCACAUGCUCCACCGCUUGUGCGGGCCCCCGUCAAUUCCUUUGAGUUUUAACCUUGCGGCCGUAGUCCCCAGGCGGAGCACUUAAUGCGUUAGCUGCGGCACCGCGGGGGUCAAUACCCACGACUCCUAGUGCUCAUCGUUUACAGCGUGGACUAC
rnacentral:misc_RNA from 1 species